rnacentral:lncRNA from 1 species
CCUUGGUCUAUGUGAAUAUUAAACAAUGGACACAAAUGGAUUCAUGACAAAAUUGUGUUUUGGUGAUGGUGAUGUGUUUGUAGAUCUUACUUUACUAAACAUUGUUGCUGCUUACAAUUAUCUCUAUCUAUAACAGUACUUUCUGUGGAAAAUGUUAUUGAAAAUCUUCAAAUUUUAAGAAAAUUGUUAAAAAUUGACUAUGAAGGGCAAUAACUCCUUAGGGGGUCAAUUGAUUAUUUUGGUCAUACUGACUUAUUUUUAGUUCCUACUUUGCUGUACAUUAUUGCUGUUUACAGUUUAUCUCUAUCUAUAAUAAUAUUCAAGAUAAUAACAAAAAAACAGCAAAAUUUUCUCAAAAUUACCAAUUCAGGGGCAGCAACCUAACAACCGAUUAUCCGAUUCAUCUGAAAAUUCCAGGGCAGAUAGAUUGUGACCUGAUCAACAAUUUUACUU